UGUAUAUUGAGACUGAAGCCGACACAGG
rnacentral:piRNA from 1 species